UGUAAAUCAAACCAUCACGCUGUACAACUUAAACUUAUACAGUGAUGUAUGUCAAUUAUUUCUCAAUAAAACUGGAAAAAAAGAGAAAGUAGCCAUAGACAUUAUGUAAAGAAAAGAGUGUGACUGUAUUCCGAGAAAACUUAAUUUACCUACUACUUUAUUUAUUACUCUAUGUAUGUAUUGAUGGGUGGUAGAUGGGCCAGAUUUGUUUGGCUCACAAGUUAUAGUUUGGCAACUUUUGGUCCAAAAGAAUAGAAUUCUCCAGACUCUAAAUCCUGCUUUCUUUUCUGUGGGCUGUUACAAAUAAAUGAAUAAAACAUAAACUCUGGGACUUUCCAUACUAAUUGGCUUGUGCUCACAAAUGAGGACUCAAAAGGAAGAAAAAUACCAUCCCUGAAUGACAGAGUCCCUGCCCCCUCCAUUCCUCACAUCUCCACUUGUGACAAAUGGAUCCACGAGUGAUAUGGGCAUGGCAUCUUCACAUCACUCUACUCUGUGACGUAGACACCAUUAAAAAUAGCGCAUCCCAACUGUAAACAAACAUGACCUCUAAACAAAGUCGGAAAGGUGGGGAGGGGGUCAAAAAGGAAAGGUAUUUCUUGGAAAAUCUCUUUCAAAAGAGGACGCUAUCAUACAUGGUCCUGGGCAGAAUUGUUUUUAAGUCAAUCUUUUGGUUUCAAAUCCUUCAGAUGAAGGAUUUAAAAUUACGAAUUAAUUUUAAUUAGUUCCUAAUUAAAUUAGCUCCUAAUUUAACUAGUUCCUAAUUAAUCUUGGUUAGUAGAUUAAUCAACCAAAAUAAAUAAAAGUUAGUAAUCUAAUAUUUACUGAGCCUUUAGUUCACGUCAGGCAUUCUGAUACAACAUGCAAUAUCACAUUGGAUCUGCGCAAAACCCCAAAGAGUUUCCCAGAAAACAGCCCUAUAAACCCAGGACAGAAUGAAUGGAGAGGCUGUUUGAGGACUCUGAGAGACAAACGCUAGCAGGCAGACUGAGGAAGAAGACCACCAAACUGGCAAGACUGACCAUUUUCUUCCUCUGUGGUAUCCCUGGGCCUGAGCUCAACCGGGCCUGGAACCCGGAAGCGGGCAUUGGUGUGAACAGAGUUCCAGAAGUCCUCUAGAUCUGGCUCAGGAACAGAAGAGGGAACUCUGAAAUCUCAGAGAGGAUGCAGAGGUCCCCCUGCCUCUACUUCUCUUCCCUCCAUCUUCUUGCACCCCAUGAUCCUGUGGCAGCAGUCACAACGGCUGCGACUCGAUAGGAGCCAGAAUUCUGAGAGAAGGGAGCCUUCCUCCGCAGUCAAUGGAGCUGUGAUCCCAAGAGGGUGGGGCAAACCUGGUUGCCUGUUUUUUUUUCUCUUUCCAAUCUUCUACCGCUUGGCCCUGUGGAUGCCGGAGUAGAGUAACUAAAACAUCUUGGCCAGAGGACCAAAGAGGGGAGCACAGGGAACCAGAAGUUACAAGAAGAUGGCAGAGAGGAACGAGCUCAGAUGAGAAAACUGAGGCAUGCGGAGUUUCUAUCGCUUCCCGGCGUUCACACAAUUUCACCAGGACUCAAAACCUGUGUUCCUAACCACUAGACGAUGAUGAUUGAAAAUGUCUCCAGUCUCAGGAGAACCUUCUGGAAACCAUGUUGCCUGUCUAAAAACAAAGAAGAGAAGUAAUUUGAAGCAGAAAUUCCAGCUUCCUUCUGGCUCUGCAUUUCAAGGGAAUGCUAACCCAGCUGUUUGUUUUUCUUUUUGACAGUUUGUUUUGUCUGUGAAAUAUAAACACUGAAAUUUUUCAGUAUAUGCACUGCCUCUGACAUAUUCCCUAGAGCCAUAGCAUCCAAACUUUUUUGAUCACAUACCCAUUAGCAAAUAUUUUUGAGUAUUACUCCUAAUAUAUGUGGAUUUAUUUAUAAGUGAUAUACCUAUACUACAAUAUUUAUAUAUUGUGUGCAUCCCAAACAGCAUCUAAUAAAAGGAAAACAGGAUGAAAUAAUAUUUUAAAAUAACAUUUCUUAAAAUAGUACAAAAUCAUUUUUUAUUUCAUUAAGAAAUAAUGUGAGCAAUGUUACUGAAUAUGCUU
rnacentral:lncRNA from 1 species